GAACGCACCACACGUGCUAGUUAGUCUAAUAGUAUGCAAAUAUACAUAGUAUUAUGCAGGUGAUAUGAAUUGUCACUAGGCGGCGUGAUAACACAAAACAUUGGGACUAUAUUACAUUACACGCAUGAAGUCUGCCACGGGAUGUCGGACAUGAUAGUGUGGAGAAAAAAAGUUAGAAGUGACCAAACAUACAUGAAGCUGUUGUGAUGACAAAGGAACCAGAGACGUGUUUGUGAGUUGGAGAUGCAUGUCCGGUGUUGGAAUCGCACUGCUGUUGUGUUCAGGUCUUUCUGAACCUUCUUCCUCAUGUAGAAGAUGGGGCAGUCCCGGCUGAGAGGACAACAGUGCAGGAGGACAUAAGUGGACUUUGUGAAGGUUUUCCCGCUUGUAGAUUGACGUACCUGGUGCAGAGCACGUCCUCGUGGAGGGAGCCUUGACAGCGCUGACAUUGAGUCCACAGGCGAGAGAAACGCUCCUCCAGAGUGUUUAGAUGGAAAAUCUACACAUUUGGAUUCAAACAUCGGUAAACUCCACGCUGUGAUGUAAAUCAUUCAUACCCUAGCAACAUUCAGGGUUAAAAUUAAGUUGUACUUGUUAAAUUGGCAUCUUUUAAGAUAUUUAGUAAAGUCUGGUUAAAUGCUUGAAAUUGAAUAAUAUAAAUUGGAAAAGACAAAAAAGCGACAAAUCCAAUCUGUUUUGUUUUGGACAUAAAAAAAAAAAGUUCAUUUGUAUUUUCAUUUGGCUCCCCCUCCAGCCACAAAUAGAUAGCAGUCCUGUGGGAAAUACUGAUGUGUUUAACCAAUAUCCCGAUAUAACACAUCUUACAGGUUUGUCCUCUUUCUUGUGUCACUUCCAGCCAUUCAACACAUAAAAGCUAGCCAUGCUAUGAAUCAGUUUAAGAUGCCCACCUCUUUUUGGUACAGUUCCGACUCCUUCUUCUUACAGAAAUCGCACACAGCAGCUGAAACGAGACGACACGCGUGUUAAAGCAACGAUGCUGCCACAUACAACCUAUUCACACGAAUGUGAAAAAAAAAAGAAUGGCAUAUUUCCAACUGAGCUUUUCUUCCCGUCACACACGCACCGUCUGUCUUGAGCACAGCUUUGCAGCCAAUGCAGGUGCUCCUCUUCUGAGCAAACGCCAUGAGACCUCCCACCUUGGACGUCAACACCGUCUUGCAGCGCGUGUGGUCGCCCUCUGAAAGCGACGUCGGUGGCGAUGAGUUUUAUUCCAGGAAAGUAACCACGUGUGUCAUGGGGGGGGAAGAAGACUGAAGUGGAACUCACUGAGGAGGAUGCUCUCUGCCUUGCUCUCGCCAAGAAUUGGCUCAAAUAUUCUCAGCAGGGGCUUGGCUAGCUGCUGGUCCAGGUAGUACUGCGUGUCG